AAUGAAAGGCGGAAGCGGGGUUCCUUGUGCUGUUGGCGCAACGCUCGCUCGCUAGGAGACCUCGCCUGCGCCUUCCGCGCCAUCUUGGCGGCCUUGGUGCCUGAAGAGUCGCGAGUGGUGGUCCCUGAAAAGGCUUCGCUUCCCGCUGUUCCUUUGAUUUUAGACGAUGCGCCCUCUUGAGGGGAAGCUGAGGCUGACAGCGGUGCGGAGAAGGAACCGGGAGGGCGGCAACGGCGAGGGAGGCGGGGACUGGGCGGGCUGCUGGCGCCAAGCGGGGAACUGGAGGGGCACCGGGCUGGCGGAGAAUCUGGGUGAGAGGGCGCGGUGAGGGGCCUGGCGAAAAGACGUCUCCCUGGCUUUCGACCUUGACUUUUAACCCGGAGAAACCUAUCAAACCCAAAUCAUUUCUGCCUUGACGAUUCAAAGUAUACUUUACUCUCAAACGCUGGACUCAAAGCUAAAGGAUGUUCUGUGUUGAAGAAAAUUUAAACAAAGGGAAUUUAAUCAACGAAGUAAAUUUGAUCUUCCGGCAUAUUCCCAAGGCUGCUUAUUUACUGUACACGUGUGUAGAAAUAAGGGUGCAAGACUGAGUACAAGACAGAACGUUAAUUAAGAGCUAAAUUAAAAGUACCAGGGAAAUUCAGUAAAGGGAGAAUGCAGUUUGUCCUGGAAUCAGCAAGGAAGCUCUCGAAGAGGGCAUUACUGAGGAUUAUAGCCUGGAAACAGCCUCACAGCUCUGAGGAACUGUUUCGAAGAGGUAAAGGAAGAGCCAGGAUAUACAGGAGUUUUUGCACAAAAAACAAAAAAACAACAGGACCAAUAUGGUGAUUUUCCAUCCUGAAUCUCCUCAGGGCGCACCAGGAGGGCUGCAGUGCCUGACAGCUUUAUGACUGCAACAUUCUUUGGUUACUGAUAUGGCAGCUCACAGGGAAACAUUCUGACCCUGCCCACCUGUGAAUGGCUGCAAGAAAGAAGAAAUUAACACAUCCCCUCCCUGAGGCUGGCUAAACCAGGAGAUGUUUUGCAAGACUUAUGGCCUUUGUACUUUACUUCCUCACCUCCUCCCCCAUCUCUGUCCUAUAAAAGAAACUAGCAUCCAGACCCCUAUAAGAUGGUACUCUAGGAUGCUAGUCUGCCAUCUUCUUGGAUGCCUGGCUUCCCCAAUA